AACCGUUCAAUUUCCUUCCAUUAAGAAGGUCUCCACUAUCAUAUUGUUCUCUUAUUAUUCCCCUCUGCAACUUACUUUUGCUUUUCUAUCUCUACAGUCAUGGUUCUGGAUUUUAAUUUGCAAGGAAGGUUAAGAUCGGGAUCCAUGGAUUUUGAAGGAUGGGAAGGUUGGUGGCCAAAGUGGCUCUGUAGAGAGACGAUGUUGAGCUCAUCUCCGUUCAUGAUCCCUUCAUUUCCAUUGAAUACAUGAUCUCCAUUCUACAGCAACGCCUUGAGAGCAUGGGCCCCAAAUGCACGUUGUUCAUAUUGCAAGUUUGACAGGAAACAUGGUAAGCAGAAUGGAGUAAUAAAUGCAAUGUGGAAAAGCUUUGAUUUAGCUAACUAGUAUUCAGAAUUACCGUUUUAAAGUCACAUUGAUGAUCUGCUAAGCACUCUAGCUUCAUCUAGUGAAGAAGAAGAUUCUUGGCCAUGCGAAGUAUUCCAGCUUCAUCUAAUGAUACCAUCGAUUUUGAAGGGAGGAGCAAUGCAUAAAGGGAGACAAAUAUGGGAUUUGUGCUUAUGGUGGCAGAUCUAGGAUUUAGGCAUUUAACGAAUCUUCAGCCACCUAAGAAUAGAAUCGAAAACCAAAAAUUGAAGUAACCAAAAAUCAAAAACUCAUAACUAAAGCAAACAAAAAAAGAUCAAAUUAAAAAAAAGAAAAGGAAAAACUGAGAACUGAAGUAACCAAGAAAGAGAAUCAAAAACCAAAUAACAAGAGUAAAGUUAAUGAACCCCAAAUAAGACUAGUAAUAAACAAUUUGAAGAAGAGUAAUUAAUGGAUGAUGAUAAUGGGUUACUAAGACUUUGGGUAAUUGACAAGGGGUGGUAGUUUUGGAGGAAUCUGGAUUAUUUCUUUGGG
rnacentral:misc_RNA from 1 species